UACGAAGGGGCUAGCGUUGCUCGGAAUCACUGGGCGUAAAGCGCACGUAGGCGGCUUUCUAAGUCAGGGGUGAAAUCCUGGAGCUCAACUCCAGAACUGCCUUUGAUACUGGCAAUCUCGAGUCCGGGAGAGGUGAGUGGAACUGCGAGUGUAGAGGUGAAAUUCGUAGAUAUUCGCAAGAACACCAGUGGCGAAGGCGGCUCACUGGCCCGGUACUGACGCU
rnacentral:rRNA from 1 species